GACGAACGCUGGCGGCGUGCUUAACACAUGCAAGUCGAACGGAAAGGCCCCUUUGGGGGUACUCGAGUGGCGAACGGGUGAGUAACACGUGAGUAACCUGCCCUUGACUUCGGGAUAACUUCAGGAAACUGGGGCUAAUACCGGAUAGGAAUCCUUGCUGCAUGGUGGGGGUUGGAAAGCUUCGGCGGUUUUGGAUGGACUCGCGGCUUAUCAGCUUGCUGGUGGGGUAGUGGCUUACCAAGGCUUUGACGGGUAGCCGGCCUGAGAGGGCGACCGGCCACAUUGGGACUGAGAUACGGCCCAGACUCCUACGGGAGGCAGCAGUGGGGAAUAUUGCACAAUGGGCGGAAGCCGGAUGCAGCAACGCCGCGUGCGGGAUGACGGCCUUCGGGUUGUAAACCGCUUUCAGCAGGGGCGAAGCUUGUGGUGACGGUACCUGCAGAAGAAGCACCGGCUAACUACGUG
rnacentral:rRNA from 1 species